UAUGCUACAUUCCCCACCCCUUAAAAUUGUUUCGGCCGCGAAACUAAAUCAUUCGUAAUUCAAAAUCCAUACCUCAACUUAGUUCCUCGAAGAGAUAAGGAUGACGCUCUUUCAUCGCGUCCUCAAGCUCCCACGUUUCUUCUCGUUCGCCGUAUUCGCUCCAAUGGAUCUUAACAUACGGAAUUUCUCGAUUCUGUAGCUUUCGCACUUCCCGAUCAACAAUGUACGCCG
rnacentral:lncRNA from 1 species